GAAAUGCGAUAAGUAGUGUGAAUUGCAGAAUUCAGUGAAUCAUCGAAUCUUUGAACGCACAUUGCGCCCCUUGGUAUUCCAUGGGGCAUGCCUGUUCGAGCGUCAUCUACACCCUCAAGCUCUGCUUGGUGUUGGGCGUCUUUGUCCCACCUCCGCGCGCGGACUCGCCCCAAAUUCAUUGGCAGCGGUCCUUGCCUCCUCUCGCGCAGCACAUUGCGCUUCUCGAGGUGUUGCGGCCCGCGUCCAGAAAGCAAUCGUUACCGUCUUUGACCUCGGAUCAGGUAGGGAUACCCGCUGAACUUAAGC
rnacentral:misc_RNA from 1 species